rnacentral:rRNA from 1 species
AGUAAAUAGAUACCCCGGUAGUCCAUGCCGUAAACGAUGAUUGCUAGGUGUGGGGGGUCUGACCCCUUCCGUGCCGGAGUUAAACACAAAUAAAGCAAUCCACCUGGGGAGUACGGCCGCAAGGUUGAAACUCAAAGGAAUUGACGGGGGCCCGCACAAGCAGUGGAGUAUGUGGUUUAAUUCGAAAGCAACGCGAAGAACCUUACCAGGUCCUGACAUCCACCGAAUCCUGUAGAGAUACGGGAGUGCCCUUCGGGGAACGGUGAGACAGGUGGUGCAUGGUUGUCGUCAGCUCGUGUCGUGAGAUGUUGGGUUAAGUCCCGCAACGAGCGCAACCCUUGUGAAUAGUUGCUACGAAAGAGCACUCUAUUCAGACCGCCGUUGACGAAACGGAGGAAGGUGGGGAUGACGUCAAAUCAUCAUGCCCCUUAUGACCUGGGCUACACACGUACUACAAUGGCCGUUAACAGAGGGAUGCAAUGCCGCGAGGUGGAGCGAACCCCUAAAAACGGUCUCAGUUCAGAUUGCAGGCUGAAACUCGCCUGC